AAAAGUCGCAACAUCGAAAACGAGCUGGAAGCACGGAAGGCUCCGUGCUUCCGAUAGCAUAGUAGCCUCACUCUCUCUCUCUCUCUCUCUCUCUCUCUCUCUCUCUCUCUCUCUCUCUCUCUCUCUAUAUAUAUAUAUAUAUAUAUAUAUAUAUAUAUAUAUAUAUAUGUAUAUAAAAUUGAGCUAGAAUACUCUCAAAAGCACCAACCCUUGAUGUUUUUGAGUUUCUAGCUCUUGAAUCUACUCUUUGAUUACUAAUAACCUUUGUAUCAAACACUAUUCCACCUACCACCACCUACCACCAUCAUCUAAACCAUACAUCUCUCCAUCAAAUGGCUAAAAACUCAAAAGCACCAGCCCCUCGAUACUUUUGAGAGUAUUCUAGCUCAAAUCUGUAUAUACAUAUAUACAUAUGUAUAUAUGUUUAUAUAUGACAAAAAGAAAAAAAAGGUUUCGAUGAGUUUGUAUGCAAUCUAAU
rnacentral:lncRNA from 1 species